AGCCAGACUCCUACGGGAGGCAGCAGUGGGGAAUAUUGCACAAUGGGGGAAACCCUGAUGCAGCGACGCCGCGUGAGUGAAGAAGUAUUUCGGUAUGUAAAGCUCUAUCAGCAGGGAAGAAAAUGACGGUACCUGACUAAGAAGCCCCGGCUAACUACGUGCCAGCAGCCGCGGUAAUACGUAGGGGGCAAGCGUUAUCCGGAUUUACUGGGUGUAAAGGGAGCGUAGACGGCAUGGCAAGUCAGAUGUGAAAGCCCGGGGCUCAACCCCGGGACUGCAUUUGAAACUGUCAGGCUGGAGUGCAGGAGAGGUAAGUGGAAUUCCUAGUGUAGCGGUGAAAUGCGUAGAUAUUAGGAGGAACACCAGUGGCGAAGGCGGCUUACUGGACUGUAACUGACGUUGAGGCUCGAAAGCGUGGGGAGCCAACAGGAUUAGAUACCCGAGUA
rnacentral:rRNA from 1 species